UUUAAUUCCUUGGAGUUAAGUACAUACUAUCCUCCUAUUUUUAUACUAUUCAUACAUAUUCUUCUUUUUGUAUUAACUGAUGUGUACUUAGAAUUUUGACUUUCUUUUUUUCUUUUUCUUUUUGCCGAAUCUCUAUGUUUUAACAUUGUUACAAUUUUUCUAACUUCCAUAAAUUGUUUUAGUUGACACUUUUUUAAUUCUCAGACUCUAGUAUCCCCAACCCUAAAAGUAAAACAUUUCAUAUUCCAGAAGAAACUCAAACUUAACCUUUUGCAUGUG
rnacentral:lncRNA from 1 species